rnacentral:rRNA from 1 species
AACGAACGCUGGCGGCAGGCUUAACACAUGCAAGUCGAACGCAUCGCAAGAUGAGUGGCAGACGGGUGAGUAACGCGUGGGAACAUACCCUUUUCUACGGAAUAGCUCUGGGAAACUGGAAUUAAUACCGUAUACGCCCUACGGGGGAAAGAUUUAUCGGGGAAGGAUUGGCCCGCGUUGGAUUAGCUAGUUGGUGGGGUAAAGGCCUACCAAGGCGACGAUCCAUAGCUGGUCUGAGAGGAUGAUCAGCCACAUUGGGACUGAGACACGGCCCAAACUCCUACGGGAGGAAGCAGUGGGGAAUAUUGGACAAUGGGCGCAAGCCUGAUCCAGCCAUGCCGCGUGAGUGAUGAAGGCCUUAGGGUUGUAAAGCUCUUUCACCUAUGAAGAUAAUGACGGUAGUCGGAGAAGAAGCCCCGGCUAACUUCGUGCCAGCCGCCGCCGUAAAAC